rnacentral:rRNA from 1 species
GACGAACGCUGGCGGCGUGCUUAACACAUGCAAGUCGAACGGAAAGGCCCCUUUGGGGGUACUCGAGUGGCGAACGGGUGAGUAACACGUGAGUAACCUGCCCUUGACUUCGGGAUAACUUCAGGAAACUGGGGCUAAUACCGGAUAGGAAUCCUUGCUGCAUGGUGGGGGUUGGAAAGCUUCGGCGGUUUUGGAUGGACUCGCGGCUUAUCAGCUUGUUGGUGGGGUAGUGGCUUACCAAGGCUUUGACGGGUAGCCGGCCUGAGAGGGCGACCGGCCACAUUGGGACUGAGAUACGGCCCAGACUCCUACGGGAGGCAGCAGUGGGGAAUAUUGCACAAUGGGCGGAAGCCUGAUGCAGCAACGCCGCGGGCGGGAUGACGGCCUUCGGGUUGGAAACCGCUUUCAGCAGGGGCGAAGCUUGUGGUGACGGUACCUGCAGAAGAAGCACCGGGUAACUACGUG